rnacentral:rRNA from 1 species
UACGUAGGGGGCGAGCGUUGUCCGGAAUUACUGGGCGUAAAGCGCUCGUAGGUGGUUUGUCGCGUUGUUCGUGAAAACUCACAGCUUAACUGUGGGCGUGCGGGCGAUACGGGCAGACUGGAGUACUGCAGGGGAGACUGGAAUUCCUGGUGUAGCGGUGGAAUGCGCAGAUAUCAGGAGGAACACCGGUGGCGAAGGCGGGUCUCUGGGCAGUAACUGACGCUGAGGAGCGAAAGCGUGGGGAGCGAACAGG